rnacentral:ncRNA from 1 species
AAUUAUUUUUAAAAAAGUUGUUGACUUUCAGUUAACAAACAUGUUAUAUUAAUUGGGUAGCCGUUAUUAAUAAUAUUAACGCGGGAUGGAGCAGUUCGG